rnacentral:rRNA from 1 species
GACGAACGCUGGCGGCGUGCCUAACACAUGCAAGUCGAACGAUACCGUCGGGUCUAGUGGGGCACGGGUGGGUGAGGCGUGGGAACCUGCGCUUAGGGUCGGAAUAACUCCCCGAAAGGGGUGCUAAUACCGGGUAAGUGCUUCGGACCAACGAUUUAUCGCCUUUGGAUGGGGCUGGGUUUGAUUAGCUAGUUGGUAGGGUAAAAGCCUAGCAAGGCGACGAUCCAUAGCUGGUCUGGGAGGAGGAACAGCCACACUGGGACUGAGACACGGCCCAGACUACUACGGGAGGCAGCAGUGGGGACUAUUGGAGCGUGGGCGAGAGAGUGAUCCAGCCAUGCGGCGUGUGAGAUGCAGGCGUUAGGGAUGUAAAGCUCUUUUACCCGGGAUGAUAUUGACAGUACCGGGAGAAUAAGCUCCGGCUAACUACGUG